rnacentral:rRNA from 1 species
UGAUAGAAAUUUAAACACUUUUUAAAGUAUCAAUUGGAGGGCAAGUCUGGUGCCAGCAGCCGCGGUAAUUCCAGCUCCAAUAGCGUAUAUUAAAAUUGUUGCAGUUAAAAAGCUCGUAGUUGAAUUUCUGUUAAAAAUAACCGGUCUGCUUUUAUUAAAAGUGGUAUCUUGGUGUGUUUUUAGCAAUAAUGUCCUUUGAAAUGGUUUUUACUUUAUUGUAAUAAGUCAUUAUUUUGAGGAUUUUUACUUUGAGAAAAUUAGAGUGUUUCUAGCAGGCUUACGCUUUUGAAUACUGCAGCAUGGAAUAAUAAGAUAGGAUUUUAGUUCUACAUUAUUGGUUUUAAGAACUAAAUUAAUGAUUGAUAGGGAUAGUUGGGGGCAUUUGUAUUUAACUGUCAGAGGUGAAAUUCUUAGAUUUGUUAAAGACAAACUACUGCGAAAGCAUUUGCCAAAGAUGUUUUCAUUAAUCAAGAACGAAAGUUAGGGGAUCGAAG